GCCUACCAAGGCUACGAUCAGUAGGGGUUCUGAGAGGAUUAACCCCCACACUGGUACUGAGACACGGACCAGACUCCUACGGGAGGCAGCAGUGAGGAAUAUUGGUCAAUGGGCGGAAGCCUGAACCAGCCAUCCCGCGUGAAGGAAGACAGCCUUACGGGUUGUAAACUUCUUUUCUGUCAGAAGAAUAAGCUUGUCGAGACGAGUGAUGCCGGUAUGACAGGAAUAAGCAUCGGCUAACUCCGUGCCAGCAGCCGCGGUAAUACGGAGGAUGCAAGCGUUAUCCGGAUUUAUUGGGUUUAAAGGGUGCGCAGGUUGUUUGAUAAGUCAGUGGUGAAAGUCUGUCGCUUAACGGUAGGAUUGCCAUCGAUACUGUUGGACUUGAAUAUGGAUGAGGUAGGCGGAAUGUGUAGUGUAGCGGUGAAAUGCAUAGAUAUUACACAGAACACCGAUUGCGAAGGCAGCUUACUAAUCCAUCAUUGACGCUGAGGCACGAAAGCGUGGGGAUCAAACAGGAUUAGAUACCCUGGUAGUCCACGCCGUAAACGAUGAUCACUCGCUGUUUGCGAUAUACAGUAAGCGGCUAAGCGAAAGC
rnacentral:rRNA from 1 species